CUGACCUCCAUUUUGUUUUUGAGAUAAAAUUGCACAUUGGAAAACCUGAGUAUAAACGAUGAGAUUCAUACCCAUUUCAAAUGUAGUUUGUGCUCGGGCUAUUUAGUAUGGCAUUCCCUCGCAAGUUUAUCAAAUAUAAAAAUCUGACAAGUUUAUCAAAUACAAAAAUCUCAGGAGGUUAACUGAAGAAAGCUAGCGACAAGGUGGUGUGCAAAUUUAGCAGCUUACUGCAAUAUUAAAGUUGGACAUUCUUUCUUGGUUAUUAAUAAAAUGUUCAAUCAUAUAUACUAGUCUUUCACAAGCAGAUAGCUGCAGUUCACCUCACCCAGUAUCAGAUUUGUCAGAACUCACCUCUUCCAAUAACAAAAUUAGAAAAAAUAUAACAGUCACCCAGUAAAUUGUUGUAUUUAUUGAGUCCAAGACCUGGCAAGAAAUAACUUAAAAGCAGAUUUAGCAGUUCUUAGGGUUACACAAACUUAUAUCAACUGGAAAUUUUAAAGAAUUUUAAAAACCACAGGUAGAUUCUCCUGAAAACCCCUUACUCAAGUAGAAUUACUUUACAGAUUCCAUGCUAGUUUAUUAUCUGUGGACUUCGACACACAUGGAUUACAAGUAAAGCUGCCUAUGCUGAAGCUAAUAUUAACCUAGUUUUGAUUAUAAGACAGCACAUUCUGUGCUAAACACUGCAGGCACAGAACUGUAAUUGUGGUACAUUGAAGGAGAGUCACCAUGGAAAACCAAAUUACAUCAGCCCAUUCCAGUGUCAGCAAAACACCCUGAAGAAAAUGCUUUGAGAACUUCCUGUGAAUCUGUUACAACACAUCGACAAUUCUACGCAGUUCCCUUUUGAGAAAAAGCAACACUUUAUCAAGUGAAACACCCCACUGCCGUCCAGAAAGACGUUCUGGCAAAAAAAAAUUCUAAUGCUGAUUCUGAGACCGGCUCCUAGCAAACAAGUGCUCCUACAGACUCAGAUUAACUUAACAGCAGUCGCGUUAAAACCAGGCUUCCGUGUUAGGGCUUGACUGGAAACACAAAAUAAUUUAUAAACCUCAUUAAGUGACCAUUGCAUUACACGAUUAUAAGAGCAGAAGUUAGGCUCUACGCGUCAAAUUGUGUUCGAUAAUAUCCAUCGGGUUGUGUUUAAGCUAGAGAUAGUAAAUAAAAGCAAGUUAUUACAGAUAACGGGGGCUGCCCUUGGUUUAGAUAGAGACCCCACACUCUCACAGAAGUACCACCAAGCCCUACAUCGAGGUGAACGGGUUCCGGGGACGUUUGGUGGCGCUCGACCGCCGUCCCUGGAAACAGGAUCAGACCGGUCGGCCAACUACUGCCUCCGAUUAUUUUAGCAACAACGACGGGGGAAAAACCCCCAUUGGACCGCCAACCGCCAACCCCCGACCCCCCAACCACUUUAAUGAAAAUCCACCUCGGUCUGAAAAAAAGAGCUAUAAUCUUGCAUCACAUUUCAUUGGGAUACAAGAAACUACAGAUGUGGGAAUCCACAGUAACACAUAAUCUACUGGAAAAACUCAGCAGGUCGAAAAGGAAGAAAAGGAAUUGUCGAUGUUUUGGGUUGAAAGCUUGAGUCAGGACUAAUUUGCACGUAAAAAGGAGCAAGCAGAUAUAAAUUCAGUCCCUCUGACACUAGUCCAAUAAUAACUGAAGAAAGUGAUAUUUGCUUGCUUAUGUGCUACCUGUCUCCAUCCCCACACUCAGCUACCGUCGCCACCAAUAUGAGCUCUCACAUGCAAUGAGGUUUAAAUUCUUAUACCCUUACCUGCUGGUGACUCUGACACUGUCUAGAUCUCCUACAACACAGGUGAGAAAACUUUUGCCUGCAGCUGAUACUCAGCUGGUUCCUUUGAUGACUGACAUACAGUACUUUAUGUCAUCUUGAUGAUGCUUCAUCUCUUAUCCAGAUCAACCAUCAACGACACUGGCCCUCUACGUCAAUGAAGUGUCUUGAUAACCAGAUGCUUCCUGUGAUAUCUGACAGGAUCAGAAUCAGAAUCGGAAUCAGCUAUGAUACUCGCAUAUGUUGUGAAAAAUGUUGUUAUAUAAAAUUAAAUGAAAUAAGUGGUACAAAAAGAAAAAUAAAUUCCGAGUUUGAUUAUCCAUUCAGAAAUCUGACGGUGCUAGGAAGAAGCUGUUCCUAAAACAUUGAGUGUGUGUCUUCAAAAUGGCAAUUCCAACAUUGGCUCUUCUGUUUGCUUGUUCAGAACACACACACAAGCACCAAGCUCCGCCUUUCUCAAAUUAAAAUGUAUUCUAAUAUACGUACCCGCUACUAAGUCAGCAGAUGUUUGUCCCAUAGUUGUAUGUGGUAAUUGGCAAUGUAAUAGGAAACUCAUAACAUCUGACCCAAUUCCAACUCAAAGCAGCACAGUAAUGUAGUGGUUAGCAUAAUGCUUGACAGCACCAGCGAUUGGAAAAUCAGGGCUUAAUUCCUGCCACUGU